rnacentral:sRNA from 1 species
UAAAAUUACAACAUUCAUUUCUAAGAAAGUAAGUCAAGUCCUGGGAAAAAUAGAUAACUGGAAAGAUAUUGUAAUUAGGUUCUGUUGCCAAGGUGACUGCAAGAUCAGAAGCAGAUCAGCUUAGCCCUAUCAAAUGUGCUGGAUUUGUUCCUAGACUAUAUAUAGCAACCCUUUCUCUAGAAUUUCUUCAUCCUUCCAUCAUGAAACAUCAACAACAGUUUUUAACUUUGAAAAUUCAGUUUCAUUGUGGAAAUGGGGACGUUCAGUUAAAUGUAAUCAUCUCUAUUUUACAGCUCGACACCUUGGCUUUGUGACGCUCAACACUGGAACUCAAGGGAAUAGUGAGAGACAGGACCAGGGAAAGAUGUAUCAACUAAAAGAAAGAAACAGCAAAUGUAUCGAGUUUGAGACAGGAAGUAUAACAAGUCCAAAGAACUGCAGACAAUCCUACAGGGCUUCAGCUAUACUUUAAAGGGAAUUCUCUAGAAAUUCUAGUCACAUAAGACACUGAAUAACAUGAUAAAUUGUCAGUUUACUUUAAGCAAGGCAUGACCUAAUGAGGCAUAGAACUUAGAAAGGUCUACCUAAAUGUGCUGUGGCUUAUGGAGGCAAGCAAGAAUAAUGUUGAGGACACUAGGCAAACCUUUAGAGUGGUCUUAGGAAGAACUGUUUGCCCGAAUUAAUGUGGUAGCAGUGAGGGGUGGAGAUGUAUGGAAGUAGGCUAGCAGUGACAGCUUGAUCCACUCACAAACACUUCACAGAUACACCAGCAAUCCAGUUUAGGAGUUGGGAUAGCAAACAAGAAUCAGCAGUGGUGGCCUACCUAGCAGAAACAGCCAGGCCUCAGCCUUAGCACAAGUCAGAAGGAGGGACCAGGAAGAAUUUCAGGAAAAGUUCUCCACUGGGUCUCUCUCGGUGAAUUGAAGAUCAGUGAAGAUGCAAGACCAACAAGCACUGAUUGCAAGGGGCAUAAAACCAAUAAGGAGCAAACAGUGGAGCAGAGGUGUCACUUUGGAUGCUGUUGCACUGUUGGAGAUGGGAUUACAGUAUUAUGAGGAAGUCUGCAUAGAUGGAUACAAGUAGAAAGAAUUUGGGAGAUGAUGAAGACUUCCAGCAGAGAUGUGGCUUAUAAUAAAGGUAUGUCUUCCCACCUCAAGAUCUUCCUACUCCAAAAUUCUGGACUAGAAGUGGAAUCACCAGCUUGCAACCAAGCAAAGGGAUCACCCACAGGUAUGCUUCCGUUACAUUUUAGAUAUAGUCAAGUUGACUAUCAAGAAUAGCCUUUAGACUAGGCAAACUCAGCCCAGGCAUCUGUCCUUUCUGAACCUCAGCAGCCUUAUCAGUGGCAUCAGUAUAAUGCAUAUACCUAUGUCCUAAGGAUAUUGAAUACCCAUAAUGCUCUCUACCUAGUGUCUUGUAUAA